rnacentral:rRNA from 1 species
AGUGAACGCUGGCGGUAGGCCUAACACAUGCAAGUCGAACGGCAGCACAGUAAGAGCUUGCUCUUACGGGUGGCGAGUGGCGGACGGGUGAGGAAUACAUCGGACUCUACUUUUUCGUGGGGGAUAACGUAGGGAUACUUACGCUAAUACCGCAUACGACCUACGGGUGAAAGCAGGGGAUCUUCGGACCUUGCGUGAUUGCAUGAGCCGAUGUCGGAUUAGCUAGUUGGUGGGGUACAGGCCCACCAAGGCGACGCUCCGUAGCUGGUCUGAGAGGAUGAACAGCAACACUGGAACUGAGACAAGGGCCAAAAUCCUAAGGGAGGCAGCAGUGGGGAAUAUUGGACAAGGGGCGCAAGCCUGAACCAGCCAUACCGCGUGAGUGAAGAAGGCCUUCGGGUUGUAAAGCCCUUUUGUUGGGAAAGAAAAGCAGCAGGUUAAUACCCCGCUGUUCUGACGGUACCCAAAGAAUAAGCACCGGCUAACUUCGUG